rfam:Moorella thermoacetica ATCC 39073, complete genome.
GGGCGUGUAGCUCAGUUGGGAGAGCGCUAGAAUCGCACUCUAGAGGCCAGGGGUUCGAAUCCCCUCACGUCCA